CUGCUGCAACCCAGAAAUUGAACUGAAUAUUUUAUUUGACCAAGUGUGAUUAGAUACACAAGGAAUUUGUCUCCGGGUGCAGCACAGAAUAAUGAUAAUCACCAAUAAACGAGGGGAGUAAAGAAGAUAAUAAAGCUGGAUCUGAAUUCAUCUCCUCUCCAAGACCAGACCACUUCAAGGCUUAGAUAUUUCAAGGCCUGGCAAUUCAGUCCUGGCUUUGCCACCCACCCACUCACGUUCCUUUUGAUGUUUGUCCCGACACCCAGCAACAUGGAAGUUGGAAUCAAUGUCCUCUUCUGCCCUUCCAAAAUUCAGCCGCUUGGCGAUGGCUCAUAUUUAUGAUGGUCGCAGUGACCUGAUAAGCAAAGUCAAUGGGGAAGCCAGAUUUGUUUAGCAACUGGGUUACUAAUUUAUCAACUGCAGCGAUUCACUUCAGAGCUGUGGCAAGAAAGGUCAUAAAAUCGGGCAAGACUCAAUGUCUCACUUAACAACAGAAAUGCAACAGCACCAUCACCAGACUGUGACCUGACCAGACGAUCCAGAAAGACACCGUGGUUGGCAUAAAACCCAAGACAUGACUCAAAAGGCCCAAGACGGCGGCAUCCUCCACUUUGCGAGGAGCUCCUUUGUUCUCCUGCAAAUCCCAACAAAGCCAGUCAAAUAAAGGCUUGAGAGGCUUUGUUGCUGCAUUAAAGUUUCUGAGCAUAGCUGGGAAUUGGGCGCACAGCAGCCAGAGAGCUUUUGUUACCAAGCUCAGGCGUGCAGGGCGAGUUGUCAGCAGGGCCACGAGGGUUGCCCCUGUCCAGCAGAGGCUCCCCAGGCAGGGCUGACUGCAAGAGUCAUUCCCGUGCCAUGUGCCCCACUUCCCACCCCUUGUAGAAGGAAGAGGCUGCUUGGACCAGCUAUACCUUCCUAAACUGCUUUUCUUUGCCAGAUUAGUUGAUUCCUCCUGCUAGCUGAAAUUGGCAUGAUCCUGACCAAGAUUACCCCAAAGGCUUCCUUUUGUGUUCUAAGCCAGGGGAGCAGAUAAGCAAAUAGCUGGCGCCAAGGCAAUUCUCUCUGUUGUGUGCUUGCUUGCCAUCUGGUAAUCGUCUGGUAAUCGCUUCCUCUCCAAUGGUUGUAAACACAAACACUGAUUUCACCUUGCUAUUCUAGCAUCAAUGAGAGCCACAAAGGGCUGCAGGAUUUACCCCUUUCCCCAAGCUUUCUUGUGAGUCAAAUUCCAGAAUGUGAACCUUCUCUGCCCUUAGGGCUCACCUGGCUGAUUGGGGUUGUAUCUUCCUGACACAUAAGUAUUCAGGGUCAGUUUCUUAAUAAACCUUUUUAAAGAUGUA